rnacentral:rRNA from 1 species
CCUACGGGUGGCAGCAGUGGGGAAUAUUGGACAAUGGGGGCAACCCUGAUCCAGCCAUGCCGCGUGUGUGAAGAAGGCCCUCGGGUUGUAAAGCACUUUCAGUGAGGAAGAACGCCUGGUGGUUAAUACCCAUCAGGAAAGACAUCACUCACAGAAGAAGCACCGGCUAACUCCGUGCCAGCAGCCGCGGUAAUACGGAGGGUGCGAGCGUUAAUCGGAAGUACUGGGCGUAAAGCGCGCGUAGGUGGCUUGAUAAGCCGGUUGUGAAAGCCCCGGGCUCAACCUGGGAACGGCAUCCGGAACUGUCAAGCUAGAGUGCAGGAGAGGAAGGUAGAAUUCCCGGUGUAGCGGUGAAAUGCGUAGAGAUCGGGAGGAAUACCAGUGGCGAAGGCGGCCUUCUGGACUGACACUGACACUGAGGUGCGAAAGCGUGGGUAGCAAACAGGAUUAGAUACCCUGGUAGUC